rnacentral:rRNA from 1 species
CCUACGGGGGGCAGCAGUGGGGAAUAUUGCACAAUGGGCGCAAGCCUGAUGCAGCCAUGCCGCGUGUGUGAAGAAGGCCUUCGGGUUGUAAAGCACUUUCAGCGGGGAGGAAGGCGGUGAGGUUAAUAACCUCAUCGAUUGACGUUACCCGCAGAAGAAGCACCGGCUAACUCCGUGCCAGCAGCCGCGGUAAUACGGAGGGUGCAAGCGUUAAUCGGAAUUACUGGGCGUAAAGCGCACGCAGGCGGUCUGUCAAGUCGGAUGUGAAAUCCCCGGGCUCAACCUGGGAACUGCAUUCGAAACUGGCAGGCUAGAGUCUGGUAGAGGGGGGUAGAAUUCCAGGUGUAGCGGUGAAAUGCGUAGAGAUCUGGAGGAAUACCGGUGGCGAAGGCGGCCCCCUGGACAAAGACUGACGCUCAGGUGCGAAAGCGUGGGGAGCAAACAGGAUUAGAUACCCUAGAGUC